AGAAGAAGAAGAGGAGGAGGAGGAAGAAGAGGAAGAAGAAGAAAAUUAAGAAACAUUCAACCAGAAAAGUUCUUCAACUGCUUCAGUUUCAGCUCAGAAACAAUAAGAACAUGAUAAACCAAGAACAUGACUCUUCCAAAAAUUACUAAUCCCAGAAAAAAAUGACCCAUAAUGAAAAUGACCAGAAAAAAACCCAGACAAGUAAUUCAACACAAUUAUCACAACUAUGUUUAGCACCUCAAAUAAGAUGUAACUAUAGGGCUAGAGAGAAGGCUCAGAGGUUAAGAACACUGGCUGUUCUUCAAAAGGUCCUGAGUUCAAUUCCCAGCAACCACGUGGUCACUCAUAACUAUCUAUAAUGAGAGCUGGUGCCCUCUUCCAGCCUGCAGGUACAUAUGCAGGCAGAAUACUGUAUAAAUAAUAAAUAAAUAAACCUUUUUUUGAAUGUGAAUUUGCUCCAAGAGAACAAAACCAGAGAGAUAAAAUAAGUAAGUUAGUACAGCAAACAAAAACAGAAUUUAAUGAAGAGGUAGAAUUACUGAAGAAAAAACAAGCUGAAAUGAUGCUGAAAAUGAAAUUUUCAAUAGUCCAAAUAAAAAUUUCAGUGAAGCCCAGGCUGGCUUCAAACUCAUGAUCUUCCUGCCUCCACCUCCUUCAGCAAAUCCUACUGGCAUGUGCCACCACAACUGGAUGUUUCACUUGGGUUUUUUGUUACACUCCUAACAAUAGGAGUGGGAUUUCUCUGACUCUUUUGCCUGCUUCUAUGACAUUUUUUCUCCUGCUGGAUUGCCUUAUCCAGCCUCGAUAUAAGUGUUUAUGCCUAGUCUUAUUGUAUCUUGUUAUGCUGUGUUUAAGUUGGUAGCACUAGGAGGCCUGCUCUUUUCUGAAGGGAAAUGGAGAACAGUAGAUCUGGUGAAGAGAGGGGAUGGGGCGCUAAGAGGAUUAGAUGGAGAGGAGGCUCCAAUCAGGAUGUAUUGCAUGAAAUAAUACAUUUCUUAAAUAGAAACAAUUUUAGAAGGAAAAAUAAACCUCAGUGGAAAACCCCAUCAACAGAAUGGAUGAUGCAGAAAGCAAAGUAUCAGAGAUGGAAGACAAAGGAGAAGAAACAAGUCAUUUAAUGAAGGUCAAUAACACUUUGGUUUUGUAUUGUUUUGUUUUGUUUUGUUUUUUGAAACAGGGCUUCUCUGUGUAGCCUUGGCUGUCCUGGACUUGCUCUGUAAACCAGGCUGGCCUUGAAUUCACAGAGAUCCACCUGCCUCUGUCUCCCUGAGCUCUGGGAUUACAGAUGUGGGCCACUGCACCCGCAAAGAUAACAGUUCUUAGAAUAAAUGAAUGGAUUGAUGCUUGAGGGGUUCCACAUCUUUUACCAACUUCAAAGAAAGCUGAGGGCCCAUCGAAGGGCCUGUUUUUGUUUUUGUUUUUUUAACUCUGGGUUAAGACUACAGGUAUGUGGGAAGAUCCACAUUUCCUAGAAGCCCUAACAGUAUCUGAGGAACUAGGGUGGGCCAGAUCUGACUCUUGGUACACAGGCAUGCAAAGAGUUCCUUAACUCACAGCAAAAGCUACUUACCCAGUCAGAAAACACACAGGACAAUACUUGAACCUCACAAAAACAAUAGAGAUAAAUCUUCCAGCCCUAACAACCAGUCCCACUGAGGAAGAGUGUAGAGAAAAUAUCUUGUGUAUUGUUUGAAUGCAUUGCCUGUCAAUUAAAAAGGCUAUGACCCAUAAGAAAAGGUAGAAUAGCAGGUGGGACAUCCAACAGGCAGAAAGGAUUCUGUGGUAGAGGUAGGUGCAAGAGAUUCAUCUGAGAAGAUGUGAGGACAGAUACACGAUACCUUAUAGGAGCUAGUUUUUUAAACUCUAAUUUAUUUGGGGGUUCCUAAAGCCUCUACCUCCCUUCCAACCCCCCAACCCUAAGUAGGAGAGAAAAAAGGUUAGAAGGGAAAGGGUACAUAGACCGCUUCACUUCUUCUGGCUGGGCAGGGUUGUCACAUUCUUUUGGGGGUAAUACCAAUCUCAGUCACCAGAAUAUCCAGCAAUCCAGGUAACCAGGAAACCAGCAAAUGCAGCAAGAAGUCUUCUUUCUUCAAAGCCUCCUCUCCCGUCUCCUCAAAGCUGCCGCCCGGUCUCCCUCUGGGUUCUCGUGUUUAUACCCCUCAGAGUCCUCAGACUUCAACUAACUCCAGCUGGCAAAGACCACGCCCCUGCAUGAGGCAGUUAUCAGCUGUGGACAAACUAAAGGACAAACUAAAAUCCCACACUUGAGAUUAAAACAAAAACUUGUUUAAAUAACAUAACUGAGUUUUUAAAGAAACCAAAACUUCAAUUACAGUACCUGAGCAGAGGUAACCAGCCCACGGCAGAAUGUAGAUUAGGUAUAAAUUGAUUAUUUUAAGUUACAGUCUAGUCAAAGAGCCUAGCUAUUUUAUAUGGCCUGAGUAUUUGUAAAUAUAUUUUGAGUCUCCUGAGUCAUUAUUCUGGGAGCUUGGGGCCUAGAGAAAAAAUAGACAUCCUACUACAGAUGGUACACUGAAUGUGGGGCCUGAAUCUAAUCUUACAUUCUGGGAAGUCCUGGGUGAAAGGUGGUUUCCCAGCCAAAAAGUGGGAAACUGAAGCAGAGCGCAUUUCAGAGGCUCAGCUCCCUUAAGAGAAAACGCAGCCUUGCAGCAAAACCAGCAGAGGGCAACAGGUGGCACAGUAGCUGUGGAUUCUCCCAAGCACAGCAAGGUUUAAAGCACGCUAGAGAGAGCUAAGUAGCCUGUGUGAAAACUGUAACUCAGUUUGGGUCCACACAGGAGAGGCAUGCUGCGGCCUGAAAGUCAGAGUGGCUCCAGCCAGAGUUGAGUAGAAAACGGAGCCAAUGAGCUACAACAGCCUAUGUGAUGAGCUUGCUGACCAAGGCUGAUGACAGUGCGAGAUGCAAACCGAGAAGUCCCAAGUGUCUGAAUGAACAAAAGGACCAAACACCAAUAGAAUGGAGAUGGCCUUGACAAGACUCAACCUGGAGAAUGCUAAGAGGCUGAUAUGUUUGUUCCAGCACGCUGCUUGAUCUAGACUCACACUAAUCCAUUGCUGUUUCAUCAAACCUUGCUUCCAGGACAGCUUCAAAGAAAGCUGCUGAUACCAAUUGGUCCAGUAUUUUAGGCUGUUCCAAACAAAAUUUCAUUUAAGCCUGCAUUUUCACAGCAUUUAGAGACUGGACAACAAAUGUUACAGCUGGAUUUCUUAACCAUUUUCCCAAUUUUUCUUUGACUUCCCAAAAAAUGCCUUCCCCUCCAGAAAAAAAUAAAUAAACUUGAGAACACAAUGCCCAAUUUCCCAAAA